AAACACUUACACAUCUAUAACAUCUUUUUUUCUUUUAAUAUUUUUAAAGAUUUUGCAGCUACAUUGCCUUCUCACUUGCAUUAUUUCCAGCAAGAAAUCUGAUGUUUUCUUUGUUUCUCUGUGUGUAGCGUGUCUUUUUUUCCUCUGAUCACUUUUGAGAGUUUAUCUCCAUCACAAAUUUUCAAUAAUUUGAUUAUUAUAUCCUUAUGCUGUUUUCUUCAUGGUUUUUGUUGUUUGGGGGGUGUUUUGAUUUGUUUUUGUGCUUGGGGUACAUUGAGAAUCUUGGAUUUGUAAAUUUAUAGUGUAGGG